GACUGACAAUAAGAAAAAAUAUUUUUAUUGCAAUGUUGAAGGCCACUGGAGAAGAAACUGUCCGACAUACCUAGCAACUGUGAAGAACAAAAAGAAGGAUGGGUCUUCUGAAGGUACAUUUGACUUGCUCAUAGUUGAAACUAAUCUAACAGUUUCUUUUUCUUCUAGUUGGGUUCUAGAUUCUGGUUCAAGUGCUCAUUUGUGCACUUCUAUACAAGGUCAUGAAGAAGUUAGAGGGCUGAGAGAAGGCG
rnacentral:lncRNA from 1 species